rnacentral:lncRNA from 1 species
GACGGGGUCGUAUUGCCUACAGCGAAGAGCCAUCCGAGCGGCCGACUUGAGCUGAUCCACCAUCGCUGGCACCUCGCAUCUACGCCUGGCUCUUGUNGUCGUCUUUGGAGGGAGAAGCAANGGAGAACAUACUGCGACUGGAUCCCAUCACCCUUGGAAGAUCUUCUCGUCCUGUGGGCCUUCGGAUCUUCANGAUUUUUCUGGGAAUCUCCACCUUGGACACUUCGAGGGACAGACGGGGGAUGAGGAACGACCACAUGAUUGAUGCCACCAUUUUGUUAACGAAGUCAUCAGAGAAAAACGUCUUCUAAGAAAUCUGCCAAGUNUGCUGACUCUGCAGACCCAAAGACCUGUGGGGGUGUUCUUCACUAUGAUGCCCGAUUGAUAGGGCAAAAGGCUCUGGGCAG